GCCCCAGCAGCUAGCCCACCUUUUAAGAGCAACAAACACCAUCAAUAACCCCACAAUCACUGCAAUAAUAUGAUUAAACCAUUCUUCUUCCCCAGUAUAGGAGAUAGAAAAGGACACCUAGGCGCAAUAGAACAGUACCGCAAGGGAAAGCUGAAAGAGAUAUGAAAGAGCCCAGUAAAGGCGACAGAAGCAGAGAUUAAACCUCGUACCUUUUGCAUCAUGACUUAGCCAGUAGCCCUUGAGCAAAAGGACCUUUUACGUUCAAGCCCCCGAAACUAGGCGAGCUACUCCGAAACAGCCUGUAUAAGGGCAAACCCGUCUCUGUGGCAAAAGAGUGGGAAGAUUUCCGAGUAGAGGUGACAGACCUACCGAGCCUAGUGAUAGCUGGUUUCCUGAGAACAGAAUAGAAGUUCAGCCCCCUGACUCCUUAAGCCAACCAAGGUCUCCCCUUACCCAGGCCCAGAGGACACCAAGGGAGUUAUUCAAAAGAGGGACAGCUCUCUUGAAGGAAGACACAACUUUGAAUAGAAGGUUAAAGAUCAUACACUUAAAGGCAAAGUACCCAAGUGGGCCUAAAAGCAGCCACCCUAAUAGACAGCGUUAAAGCUCAAGUACUAAAGCUCCGACGAUACCGACUACAACAUCUUAUACCUCUUAAUCUAACAGGACCCCCCAUGUACUCAUGGAGAAGACACUGCUAAUAUGAGUAAUAAGAGAGCAAGCCUCUCUCGAAAGCAUUCGUGUACAUCAGAUCGGACCCCCACUGAACAUUAACGCCCCCAAAGAGCAGAGGGUAAACGGGCAAUCGAAGCAAAACUAGAAAAGCCCCUCAAGAACAGCGUUAACCCCACACAGGAGUGCACCCUCGAAAGACAUAAUAAGGAAGAAGGAACUCGGCAAACCAUGGCCUCGCCUGUUUACCAAAAACAUCGCCUCUUGCCCCCAGAAUAUAAGAGGUCCCGCCUGCCCUGUGACGAAAGUUUAACGGCCGCGGUAUUUUGACCGUGCGAAGGUAGCGUAAUCACUUGUCUUUUAAAUAGAGACCUGUAUGAAUGGCAUAACGAGGGCUAAGCUGUCUCCUUUCUUUAGUCAAUGAAAUUGAUCUCCCCGUGCAGAAGCGGGGCUAAUCACAUAAGACGAGAAGACCCUAUGGAGCUUCAGACUACGGGCAGAUCACGUUAAAGCACCCGCGGAACCGGGACAAAACCAAGUGACCCCUAGCCCCUGUGUCUUUGGUUGGGGCGACCGCGGGGUAACAACCAACCCCCACGUGGAAAGGAACACACCCUUGACACUAGAGCUACAGCUCUACUUAACAGAAUCUCUGGCCAUAAGAUCCGGCAAGGCCGAUCAACGGACCCAGUUACCCUAGGGAUAACAGCGCAAUCCCCUUAUAGAGCCCAUAUCGACAAGGGGGUUUACGACCUCGAUGUUGGAUCAGGACCUCCUAAUGGUGCAGCCGCUAUUAAGGGUUCGUUUGUUCAACGAUUAAAGUCCUACGUGAUCUGAGUUCAGACCGGAGAAAUCCAGGUCAGUUUCUAUCUAUGACUAUGCUCUUUUCUAGUACGAAAGGACCGAAAAGAGGGGGCCCAUGCUUUAGGCACGCCCCACCCCCACCUGAUGACACCGUCUAAAUCAGGCAACGGGGUGUACCCUUCCGCCUGAGAUUAAGGCUA
rnacentral:rRNA from 1 species